GUGAGUAAUGUCUGGGAAACUGCCUGAUGGAGGGGGAUAACUACUGGAAACGGUAGCUAAUACCGCAUAACGUCGCAAGACCAAAGUGGGGGACCUUCGGGCCUCAUGCCAUCAGAUGUGCCCAGAUGGGAUUAGCUAGUAGGUGGGGUAAUGGCUCACCUAGGCGACGAUCCCUAGCUGGUCUGAGAGGAUGACCAGCCACACUGGAACUGAGACACGGUCCAGACUCCUACGGGAGGCAGCAGUGGGGAAUAUUGCACAAUGGGCGCAAGCCUGAUGCAGCCAUGCCGCGUGUAUGAAGAAGGCCUUCGGGUUGUAAAGU
rnacentral:rRNA from 1 species